UACGUAUGGGGCAAGCGUUAUCCGGAUUUACUGGGUGUAAAGGGAGCGUAGGCGGCCUGGCAAGCCUGAUGUGAAAUACCGGGGCCCAACCCCGGGGCUGCAUUGGGAACUGCCAGGCUGGAGUGCCGGAGAGGCAGGCGGAAUUCCUAGUGUAGCGGUGAAAUGCGUAGAUAUUAGGAGGAACACCAGUGGCGAAGGCGGCCUGCUGGACGAUGACUGACGUUGAGGCUCGAAAGCGUGGGGAGCAAACAGG
rnacentral:rRNA from 1 species